CAGCUCGCAGGCACCCCAGGCUCGCACCGAACCCCAGUGCAGCUCCUUACUCCAGCUGAAGGUCUCAUGCCGUGAGCUAAACCCCUCACAGGAAUUAGGUUUGGGCUGCUUACACACCUUCCCUAAGAAUAUUCAGCCGCACUGUAGCAAGAGACUCGCAUUCCCCGAUUUGCUUAGAGAUACAAAGACUCUGCAUAAAUCUGCCUUGCAGAUUUGAGAAUGAAACUUGAUCAUCCAUUCAUGCUGCUCACAAAGAAAGAUGAGACGACAGAUCUCAGAGGCAGAGGUGGAUGAACUGAAACUAUUAGACUUGUGUGUCCCUCUUCCAGGACAAACCCAGGAUCCCCAAGCCAUGGAUUACUCACAGGAGAAAUCCUCAGUUGCAGAAUCCAAGUGGUACUUCCUUAUGUUGCCAAAAAUGCAAAGAUGUUAAAGAGAAUUUUGCAAGUCAGCCAUGUGUCAGAAAAUCCCAGCUGACUGAACUUUGAUAAAUGUCUUUUAAAAAAGAGCAAAUGUGUUUGUAUUCUUUUCUCCAUUAUAAUGCCUUUUUUAUUUGGGUGGGAGAUUUUUU
rnacentral:lncRNA from 1 species